rnacentral:rRNA from 1 species
UACGUAGGGUGCAAGCGUUGUCCGGAAUUAUUGGGCGUAAAGAGCUCGUAGGCGGCCUGUCGCGUCGGCUGUGAAAACUCAGGGCUCAACCCUGAGCCUGCAGUCGAUACGGGCAGGCUAGAGUCCGGCAGGGGAGACUGGAAUUCCUGGUGUAGCGGUGAAAUGCGCAGAUAUCAGGAGGAACACCGGUGGCGAAGGCGGGUCUCUGGGCCGGAACUGACGCUGAGAAGCGAAAGCAUGGGGAGCGAACAGG